CCUCUUUAUGCUUAUGACACUUGACAUUGUAAGUGUGAUUAUGAUAAAAAAUCUAGUAACCUACCUACCGAGACAGAUUUUUCUGAGAAUUAUGGGUUACUUAAGGCACAGCUAUAUAGUUUAUUUAAAGGCAAGUUCGUGCAGUAACAGCUGCCUAUCUACUCCCACAAUUAGGGCCCAAUCUCUUAUCCGGGUACUUUUAAUUCUUUACUCUUUUAAACCCCCAGAGGCCCAGCCUAAUUUAAGACAGUGUAAAUAGGCUUUGAAACCAGAGACUGUUUUUUGGCCUGGUCUCUCAUGGUUUUCACCCUUAGUGUACCCUUGGGAGAGCAGGUUGCUGUUCAUCUACUGAUUUGACACCAACAGUGAAGGUUAUCCAUCCUCAGUUGAAGGCAUUAUGUGAAAUCGGUGCCUGAAUCUCUAUAAUGAGAUGGCUGAAAAUGGGACAGAGUUAAAGUUUCCUUGAAGAACAGUGGGACUGUGGGACCAGCAAAAUCAGAGCUCUGGAAAUACAGAUUCCAGAUUUUCAAAUCUUGGUCAAAUAUUGUCCUAUCCUAACAAACCAUACAUCAAUGGAAAGCUUAUUUAUUCAGCUUUGGUUGUACUAUCCCUUUAUGUAUAAAUAUCAAUUUAAAAAAAUUGACCAUGAUGAAUGGAUUUGUGGACCAGGGUUACAUCACAUGUCUGUGAUGGCAAAGCUGAAUUUUCAGCAGCCAUUAGUCCAGUCUUCAGUGUCACAUGAUCUUUCAGAAAUCAUUCACAUAUGCUGAUUUAGUGCUCAAGAAACAUCUUAUUAUUAUCAAUGUUGGAAACAGUUGUGCUGCUUGUUAUUUUUGUGGAAACUGUGAUCAUUUUUUUUCAGGAUUCUUUGAUGAAUAGUUCAAAAGAACAGCUUUUAUUUAAAAAUGGAAAUUGUUGUUGUUGUUGUUGUUGGGAUAUAUAUGCAUAUAAAUGUACAUGAUAAGCAGUAGAAGCAAAUGGUUAAGAAGUUCUGUGGAUGUGGCCAGUCCUCCCGCUGCAGUACUUCCUGCUACAGACACUCAUCAUGUUGAAGAAGUUGAUCAAAAGGUCAAAUUCCAAAAAUUAAAUCUAAAUGCUUGAUUCUUUAUGCCUCAGAAAGAUUUAAGAAUCACCAUUAACAGUGUCAUUUACAUCCUAAAGUCUCAUCUUAAUCCAAUAAAAACACUUGCAGCGGUUCUCGCAAAUUAAGAAUGACAUUCUAACUGUAAGUCGGAGGGAGUCUUUGCCAAGAUGGUCUGGGUUUAUUAAAACCCCCUGAGAUUAUUUUAAUAGAUUUUGUUUCAGUUCUGCAGAAGAGGCUUGAAAAAGCUUAGGUGAGUAAGGCUGUUCUUGCGAAACAGCCUCGGGUAUGUAAUACCAGUAGUUAAACACUUAGAACUAGGGGCCUCUGAGCGGUUUCCUCCCACACAGCUGAAUGUGAUAGAGUGUGUGCUCUACGUGCUCUUCAAGAGCACAUACUGUUCAAGUAGGCCACUUUAAUGUUUACAUAGUGUGAUGCACAUGACAAAUUUGAAAAUAUUGCAUUGUAUUUAGUUUUUGUAUUAGAUAAUACAAAAACUCGUUUCUUUCAGCCUACCAUCUUCAUACUGACUGACUACUUUUCGUUCAGGGGCUGAUAAUGUGCAGCUUUAAUUGUGCUUUAACUGGCAAGUUUACAUGGAAAAACACAUCUUUCAUGCAAGAAACUCAAGUUGCCUCUCAGCAUGUGUGGGAGCGUUUAAUCAGGCGAAAUGCUCUGACUCGUAAGACUGACGUGGAAAUGAUUCUAAUAUGACUAAGUCUGACAUUCCCGGACCAGGCGUCUGACUUUGGCUUUUCCAAUACGGCAGCUCACAAUUGACGCAAAUGACUGCAGCAAAAUAGGCCAACGGAUGCUCCACUCCCCUGAGCAUGUUCCCAUUUGUUCACAGCUCAUUUUUAAUAUGAAAAGUAAAGGGAUAAUCGUUCUACAGUGAAAUUGUGUCAUUGUUGCUUUAAGAAGCUUUUUCUACCUGAUAAGACUUUUUAAAAUGACUUUUGUUGGUAACCUAAUGGAGUUAAUGAUGCACAUUUUUAGGUGUCCAGACAAUAUAUUUUGACAAUGUAGACUGCUAAUUGUUGUAUUUUAAAUGUUUUAAUUUUUUCUUUGAUGACAAGGCAAGAGUGCAAACCACAUUAUGUAAAGCUAAAACCAACAAAUCUGCCUGUUCUUUUUCAGAACUUUUUCUUGUUAGAGACAGUAGAGAGUUGAAAUGGAAUUAUUGAGAAGAGAUAGAGGGUUGGACUCAAACCACUGUUUUCCAUUUGAUCACCUUGGCUUAAUGUGUUGUUGCUUACUGCUAGGUCACAGCUCCGACCUGGAUUGUCUUUUAAAGACUUUAGAUGUCGGUCUAGUUUACUUUGCUGCAUUGUGCUAUCGCACAUUUCCAAAUCGUCUGUUUAUUUGUGUACAUUUUUGUAUGGCCAAAUGUGUACCAUGGAUUUGGCCUUGUUUCCUCCUCUUUACUGCUGUCUCUCUUCAGGCAGCACAUCAGAAGGUGAAGCUGAGCCUACUGUUAUGUAACAAUUAUGAAAUCUUUCUACCUAUUUUUAGACUUCAAUAGUGUCAAGUCUUUUAGAAAUGAUGAUGAGCUGGUGUUGAUCUUGGAUCGCACUGAUUUGAUUGCAUUAAAACUCUAAUUUAUGAUGCUGUUAUUUUAAAGAUUUAUUUAUUUAUUUAUUUAUUUUUGUUUUUGAGUGUGUGGUUGCGUAAUGCCCUCUCUAGCUCAGCACAAAAACAUGCCUUGACAUCUCCAUCUCUUCCACAUAACAAACUCUAAUUAUUGCUAAACCUGACACCAGUGAUUUAUGAAGGAUGACUUUGCAGAUUUUAUAUCAGACUUGUAUAAACAAUUUCUACCUGUAUCUUGCAAAACCUUG